rnacentral:rRNA from 1 species
GGACUACCCGGGUAUCUAAUCCCGUUUGCUCCCCUAGCUUUCGCGCCUCAGCGUCAGAAGAGGUCCAGCAGGUCGCUUUCGCCACCGGCGUUCCUUCCGAUAUCAACGCAUUUCACCGCUCCACCGGAAGUUCCACCUGCCCCUACCUCCCUCCAGCCGAUCAGUAUCCAAGGCACUUUUCCGGUUAAGCCGAAAGAUUUCACCCCGGACUGGAUCGACCGCCUACGCGCCCUUUAAGCCCAGUGAUUCCGAACAACGUUUGCACGGUUCGUCUUACCGCGGCGGCUGGCAC